rnacentral:rRNA from 1 species
AGCUUGUUGGUGGGGUAACGGCCUACCAAGGCGACGACGGGUAGCUGGUCUGAGAGGACGACCAGCCACACUGGAACUGAGAUACGGUCCAGACUCCUACGGGAGGCAGCAGUGGGGAAUAUUGCACAAUGGGCGAAAGCCUGAUGCAGCGACGCCGCGUGAGGGAUGAAGGCCUUCGGGUCGUAAACCUCUUUUCGGCAGGGACGGAGCGUUCAGUGACGGUACCUGCAGAAGAAGCCCCGGCUAACUACGUGCCAGCAGCCGCGGUAAGACGUAGGGGGCGAGCGUUGUCCGGAUUUAUUGGGCGUAAAGCGUGCGUAGGCUGCUGCGCAAGUCGGGUGUGAAACCCCGGGGCUCAACCCCGGAACUGCAUCCGAUACUGCGUGGCUAGAGGUAGGUAGGGGAGAUCGGAAUCCUGGUGUAGCGGUGAAAUGCGCAGAUAUCAGGAGGAACACCGGUGGCGAAGGCGGAUCUCUGGGCCUUACCUGACGCUCAGGCACGAAAGCUAGGGGAGCGGACAGGAUUAGAUACCCUGGUAGUCCUAGCCGUAAACGUUGGGAGCUAGGUGUGGGCGGAUAUCGACCCCGUCCGUGCCGAAGCUAACGCAUUAAGCACCCCGCCUGGGGAGUACGGCCGCAAGGCUAAAACUCAAAGGAAUUGACGGGGGCCCGCACAAGCGGCGGAGCAUGUGGCUUAAUUCGAAGCAACGCGAAGAACCUUACCUGGGCUUGACAUGCGGGGUGAAACCGUAGAAAUACGGCGCUCCUCGGAGCCCGCACAGGUGGUGCAUGGCUGUCGUCAGCUCGUGCCGUGAGGUGUUGCCUUAAGUGGCGCAACGAGCGCAACCCCUGUCCUUAGUUGCCAGCGGAUCAUGCCGGGAACUCUAGGGAGACUGCCGGUGCCAAACCGGAGGAAGGUGGGGAUGACGUCAAGUCAUCAUGCCCCUUAUGUCCAGGGCUGCACACAUGCUACAAUGCGCGAUACAGAGGGUUGCGAUCCCGCAAGGGGGAGCGAAUCCCAAAAAGUCGCGCUCAGUUCGGAUCGGGGUCUGCAACUCGACCCCGUGAAGUCGGAGUCGCUAGUAAUCGCAGAUCAGCAAUGCUGCGGUGAAUACGUUCCCGGGCCUUGUACACACCGCCCGUCACACCACGAAAGUGGGCAACACCCGAAGCCGGUGGCCUAACCCUUGUGGAGGGAGCCGUCGGAGGUGGGGCUCGCGAUAGGGGUGAAGUCGUAACAAGGUAGCCGUACCGGAAGGUGCGGCUU